AAAAAUAAUACAUAAAUGAAAAUCAAAAGAAUGCUAAUAAAGAUUAUUUCAAUAACAAUGACAAACUAAGAAAAGGUUGUACUUAAAAGAAUCACCCUUCAAAAAAUAAAGGGUAGAGGAUGAGUUUUCGACUGAAAGGUAUUUUUUUUUUUAUUCUUUUUUUACAGUGGUUGAGAGAAAAGGAAGAAGGCCAGGGUUAAAAGCAAAGUGAAGUAAGUCUCUCGUAAUUUCUUCAUCUUGCUCAAGGUAUUGAAUGCAAGAGAUUAGGAUAUGUAAAAUGAUUUCGAGUCUGACUCGAAUUUAAUUCGAUUUUUAAUUCAUUUAAAAAGCAUAAUGAUUUAAAUUUUUAAACUUAUAAAACAUAUAAAUUUAACUUGAAAAGAUAUAUGCUCGACCGAUAUGUUGAUAAGUUUUAUCAUAAAUAUUUUAUAUUACUUAUAAUAAUAAGAUAAGAUAUGUGUAUUAGGAGAAAACUUAUUUAUUGUUAAUUUGAAUUUAAUUUAAAUUCAGCUUAUCUUAUAAUUCGUUUGAACAAUGUAUAAAUUUUUUUGACUUUAAACCGAUUUUGAUUAUUAAUAUUAUUUCACCUAGCCGAGUUUGAACAAUGACGUAUUCAGUUUGGCUUCGGCUCAUUU
rnacentral:lncRNA from 1 species